rnacentral:rRNA from 1 species
AACAAACGCUGGCGGCGUGCCUAAUACAUGCAAGUCGAACGGGGAAAGCUUUCGGGUGAGUACUAGUGGCGCACGGGUGAGGAACGCGUGGAUAAUCUGCCUUAGAGUGGGGGAUAACUAGUCGAAAGAUUAGCUAAUACCGCAUAAGACCACAGGAGCUGCGGCUCAAGGGGUCAAAGGUUUUUCGCUCUAAGAUGAGUCCGCGUAAGAUUAGCUAGUUGGUGAGGUAACGGCUCGCCAAGGCGACGAUCUUUAACUGGUCUGAGAGGAUGAUCAGUCACACUGGAACUGAGACACGGUCCAGACUACUACGGGAGGCAGCGGUAGGGAAUAUUGCACAAUGGAGGAAACUCUGAUGCAGCGACGCCGCGUGAGUGAUGAAGGCCUUCGGGUCGUAAAGCUCUGUCGCAGGGGAAUAACACAAUGAAGGUACCCUGUAAGAAAGGAUCGGCUAACUUCGUGCCAGCCGCCGCCGUAACAC